rnacentral:rRNA from 1 species
UACGGAGGGUGCAAGCGUUGUUCGGAUUUACUGGGCGUAAAGCGCGCGCAGGUGGGUGUACAAGUCGGAAGUGAAAUCUUGAGGCUCAACCUCGAGGCUGCUCCCGAAACUGUACGCCUAGGGACUGGUAGAGGCUGGUAGAAUUCCCGGUGUAGCGGUGGAAUGCGUAGAGAUCGGGAAGAAUACCUGUGGCGAAAGCGGCUUCCUGGACCAGCACCGACGUCAGGCACGAAAGCGUGGGGAGCAAACAGG